GGGAUUGUUGUUCAAUUGGUCAAAGCACUGCCCUGUUCAGGUAGCAGCUGUGGGUUUGAGCCCCGUCAGUCCCG
rnacentral:tRNA from 1 species